rnacentral:rRNA from 1 species
AGAAUCAACGCUGGCGGCGUGCCUAACACAUGCAAGUCGAACGCGAAAGUGGAGCAAUCCAUUAGUAGAGUGGCAAACGGGUGAGUAACACGUGGGCGACCUACCUCAGAGUGGGGGAUAACCUUCCGAAAGGAGGGCUAAUACCGCAUGACAUCCCGUGUUUGGAUACACGGAGAUCAAAGCCGGGGAUCGUAAGACCUGGCGCUUGGAGAGGGGCCCGCGUCCGAUUAGCUAGUUGGUGAGGUAACGGCUCACCAAGGCUCCGAU